UACGUAGGGUGCGAGCGUUAAUCGGAAUUACUGGGCGUAAAGCGUGCGCAGGCGGUUCGUUGUGUCGGUGGUGAAAUCCCCGGGCUUAACCUGGGAAUGGCGUUUGGGACUGGAAGUCUGGAGUGCGGCAGAGGAGACUGGAAUUCCUGGUGUAGCAGUGAAAUGCGUAGAUAUCAGGAGGAACACCGAUGGCGAAGGCAGGUCUCUGGGCUGACACUGACGCUCAUGCACGAAAGCGUGGGGAGCAAACAGG
rnacentral:rRNA from 1 species